ensembl:snRNA U6 U6 spliceosomal RNA
GUGUUCACUCAGCAGUAUAUAAUCUCAAAUUGGAAUGAUACUGAGAAGAUUAGCAUGGUCCCUGAACAAGGAUAACAUGCAAAUUCUUGAAGUGUUCCAUAUUAAG